rnacentral:lncRNA from 1 species
AAAUAACCACUCAUCAUUCUCUCCAACCAUCUCCUUCGUGCUCUGGUUAUAUUCUUGUGGUGAGGUUUGUAUAAGUCUCUCUGGAGAAGGAAACAAUUCUCUAGAUGUUUGAAUCCUCCUUCUCCUUCGAGUUUCACUCAAGCCUUCUAGAAGAGGUUCCAAAUUUUUCUUUCUCCUAGUUCGAAUUGUAUCCUGCAUACACAAGAAAACAAAACCCUAGAAAGCAAUUAUUAGAACAAACAAAAAAAAACAAAAAAAUCAAGUCAAAGUUAAUCAAUAAUCACACGAAUAGAAUAGUUAAACCACGAGUCCCUGGCAACGGCGCUAAAAACUU